rnacentral:misc_RNA from 1 species
CUCUCCGGCAAUAUCGUCAAUCCCUCAGUGAACCAUCCUGCACAGCCUACACCAGCUUGCAUAGAAUUCAACUAGGACUGGUAUAUUACUUAAAAUAAAUUUUCCCAUGAGUCCUUAGUGACAGCUGCAGCUGUACAUACAGCGAAAUUGUGAUUAACAAGGUCAUCAAACAUUAUCCUCUAGAUGUCCCACCAACAUCCUAGCACAAAAUCUUGAUUUUGGAAACAAAUAAACAAGCAGAAAUUUAACAAACACCAGAUAUGUAUGGUUAAAGAUAUCAGUUAACCGAUAAUGAUCAAGAAAUGAACUCGUUCUUCACAAUCACUUGAAUGAACAACAUUACAAAGAAAAAAUGCGAUCUCCGUCUUUUCAAUGGUCUCAACUCAUAUUCAUUUCUCAUGAUUUAAGUUCUAGAAAACACAUUGCACGCACAUGCAUACCCAAUGCAUGGAUGAACUUCUAAUUAGUUCAAAUCAUUCCAGAACUUCUGAAAAACAGAGCUAUUCAGCAAUAUUCACAUUUUUCACCCUGAUUCUUUUCUUUUCUUUCUCCUCUUUCCUACCCCAUUGAGAACAAACAAAAUCAUUACACAAAUACAAACUGGGGCGCUCUAGAUAACGCAAAAAUCAACCAGUUAACAUGAGAAUAAAUAACAAGCAAACAGGAUUUAAGCAACAAUGACUUUAUAAACAUAUGAAAAACCAAGUACAUAUAAAGCCAAUCAUUCUGAACCAAGUUAUAGGACAGAGCAGAAAAAAGAGGACAAAUGAACUCAACAAAAAUUCUCCAUGAGAAAGAAAAUCAAUCCUCCAUCUAUGCUAAAGUGUGACAGAUCUAAAAAGUAAGGUUCCAAAAACAAAGAAGUAAACACAAUCAAGAGAAUAUGUCUAUAUAAACUGUCAACUAUGACUCUUUCCUAUUCUAUUGAUUAUUCUCCACUCUCACUGUAUGGUUCCACAAGCAUAUGCCUCAACAUAGAUCCAAUUCAUCGGUUAACGAAUAUGCACAAAAGCUCUAUUUGCCUCAGCCGUUUUAUGAAUCCAUUCCGUUCGUCUCACAGCAUUUCCAUAAUUCCAUUCCUUUUAGCAGCAUCCAUUAAUUCAGAACUUAACUUGAAAGCCAUAUCUGGACCCUGACGUUCUCUAGCCGCCUUCAACAACCAUCGUAUGGCCAGUGCUCGUCCCUGCGCCGACCAUAACACAAUAGGAACUUGAUGGGUUGAUCCACCAAUACGUCUCACUUUUACAGAUACAUCAGGAGUUACUUCAUGAAUUGCUUGACUCAAAACAAACAAUGGAUUUGAUUUGGUCUUUAGUUGAAACAUUUUCAAAGCUCGAUAGAUAAUAAAAUAAGCCAACUACUUCUUUCCAUUUUUCAGUACACGAUUAACGAACAAGUUAACUAAACGAUUACGAUAAAUUGGAUCAGAUUUCGCAAUUUUUUCUCCUGUAGCAGACCGAUACCAAAUCAAACACGAAUGGGUAUAAUAACAAAACAACAUCAAUACAAACCAAACAAAUUUAACAAAUUCCCAAUCAAGAACUGAAAGAUUUUAGGGUUUUUGGUUUGGGUUAUCUUACCUCGAGAAUCACGAGAGCAAAGAACCCUGAAAGGAGAAGGCGGAGGAGGCGCGCUUUUGACAGAGAGCAUAGCGAGUCUAUUGGAGUGCAAGGUGAAGGGGAAUGGGAGGGAGGGAAGGCGUAGAUGGCAGUGGUGGAGGGAGUACGGGGAGGUGCGUGGAGAAGGAAGAGGAAGAGGAGAGGAAAGUGAAGAAGAAGAAGCCAUUGGAGAAAAGAGAGGAGGUUUGUUAGUAGCAAACGGGUUUUAUUUACAAAGGAAAAGGAGAAUUAGUUGAGAGGAAGAGUUCGGUGGCAUCAGUCAG